UAAAAAUGAUGAUCCUGAGAACGGUUUCGCUUAUUCGACUGAUGUUUAGUGAAGUCAUGUUUCUCUUGGCUAUCUGAUUAU